rnacentral:lncRNA from 1 species
CUAUUAAUGUUGUACGUGAGUUGACUCGACAUGCUGCAAGAUCUUCUGAUUUGUUCUCUGAAGGUGGCCUCAGAGUAUAGCGUUGCAUAUUCCUGAGGCAAUUGUGAUUCUCUGUUUUGUUAGGACUAAGAUGCUUGAACAUGUAAGCAGUACACUAUCGAGCAAUAGAGAUCUUUCUCAUGCUGACUACAUGCUGCCAUUUGGGCCAUACACAUUGUUUAGUAACUAAUCAAAAAGUGUCAAAGGCUAGCUACCAAAGCAAAUUUGAAUCUGCUAACUAUACUACUACUGCCACAACUAACCAAGGUUGGAGCAUAAGAAAGGAGGGGUUGCCAAUUUGAACGUUAAGGACAAGCUUCCAUACAGCGGCUGCACGUCCACCAACCGCCAUGGUUGGAGCCUAUGGGAGGAGGGGUGGGAGGGAACAGGGAGGAAGCAGGAGCCGCCCAAGGUCCUGUUCAUACGGCGGCGCAGGCGGAAGACAUAACGGCGCGGCCACCGGAAGCGUUAUUCUUUCUACCCUUGUCUUCCGAGAACAAGGGGGACAAGGGAGGCGGCGGCGGCAGUGGGGAAGAAGAAUGGGGAACGGAAAGAAAGAUUGAGUUUGUGCGUGUUGUGUGUGUGUGUGUGAGAAUAAAAGUAUUUCAUGGGCCAAGCCCAAAAAUCAGUUCAAAAUAAAUUACAAAUGAAAUAUAAUAUUUCAAAAAAUGUUCGUCACCAUAAAAAAGAGAAUUAACUCCAAUUUCUUAAAAAACACCUUCUCAAAAUUAAAAAAUAUUCAUGUUUUUCUGUACAACAAUAAAUAAAAUUGAUUGAAAGACUAUGCCAUACACAAUUACUGUUUCAUCGGAGAGCUGAAAUAGGUCAUGUCGAACAUUGUUAGAAUGCGUCCAAAUUUUAUGGUCCAAAAAAAAUACUCAGUGCAUCCUUAUUUCUGACGUUUGUAAAAAUUGGAUUAAAAAAGUGUUGCAUAAUGACAUGUGGAGCAAGUUAUAUUUAAUAUUCCGCCCGAUGCAACGCACGGGCAUUUGUACUAGUCUCUAUCUCUACCUACUAAUAAAGCACCGAUCGUUUUUGGUCGUACGUCGUCGUCGGUGAUUUUGCAGAAAAGUCCUUGUACUUUUUCAAAAUUGAACCCGUAGUCCUUUCUUUAGUGGAUUCUAAAAAAACUUUCACUUUUACAUAAAUAACCCUAGAAAUCCAGCCCGAACUGGACCGCUCCGCCUCCCGCAGCUUCCUCCUACCCGAGCUCCCCUCGCACCCGCAAGCCACCUCGCCGGCGACCCCACACCUCCACCGUGCCCCGCCGCCGGAGCUCCGGCCGCUCCGCCGCCUCGCCCAUCUCCUCCUUCAUCUUGAUCUCCUCUCACCUCUGUCUCUCUUUCUCGGUGAGCAGGGAUCUCCAGGAGGACCAUGGCGCCAUCGGCCCUCAAUCUCGCCAGAUCCGGCCGCCUCCAAGCCAAAUCCGCCAGAAAUAGAUCCAUCCCGGCCAGAUCCGCCCGAAUCCGACCAGGCCCCGCCAUCCUCGCCACGGGAGCGCCGCCCGCCGCCCGUAGGCAACCUCGGCUCGCCGUCGUCAAGAUCUGGGCAACACGGGCUCGCAGCGUCGGGAGUCGGAUCCAUCGAUCCCGAAUCUCGCCACUGCAGGAUACGAGAAGGAGAUAAUCAGUUUUGUGUACGCGGAGAACAUAGAAAAGAGAUUUUUGGCCCAACCUCUGCCGCCUUGCUGACUCCACCUCGCCUCGGGUCACUUCCCACUGCCACUGGGCGUCCUUCGCCCAAUCGAUGACCUCCGUAGCUACAACACCCAGCGUGGCGUCUCCUGUUGCGGACCAGGUGGAGAUGUGAGCUUGCCAAGGAAAGAUCAGGGGUGGGAGGAGCUACCGCGCGCAUCCAUACCAGAUCAGGCAGUCGGCAUGCGUACCCGUGCCUGAUGCAGCGGUUGCUUGGCUGUGGAGGGGAAGGGAGUAUGGGUUGGUGUCGUUGUGGAGUAAUAGGAGGUCGAAUCAUGAGCAGACGAAGGUAUACAGAGCACGGGACGUCAGCUUCGUCGUCUCGUGUUGGUGCGGGUGGAGCUCAUGUGACCGUCAUAGCUGGGAGUGGAGCACGACCAGGCGUUGGUAGGAGGGAGCUGAGGAAGAGUAGGAGCAGAGCUGGGUGUUGAGGUAGCAGAAGAAGGAAGAUGGAGGCGAAGUAGCACUAAGUGAUGUGGGCUUGUGGAGGAAUAGCAAUGUGUGGACAAGAGAAGGGGCAUCUACUGGGCGGUGAGACGAUGAAUUCUGGGAAUCGGUGCUGUCCCUACUGCUUUUUUUAACGAGCUGCUACUACUAGAUGUUGUGGUGCAUUACUAGAAGCAGCUAGAUGUUGCUCUACGAGCUAGCAUUAUAAAAGAAUUUCCCCAUAAAAAAUUACAAAAUAAUUUGUUCCGGUGAGCUUCGAUAAUGAUUUCUUGGUACCGUCAUAGUUUAUUGGGCAUGCCGACCGUAUAUCAUAAAUAAAUUAUCAUUAUAUAAUAGUAAUUUAUUGGGCAUGCAGACCAUAUAUCACAAAUAAAUUAUCAUUAUAUAAUAGUAACUAAAAUAUAUGUGAGUGAAAUAUUAGAAAAAAAUAAUUAUUACUUAAGGAGAAGAAAUUUUGCCCUCACGAGGACAAAAUGAAAGUGCGGAGCUAAAAUAGGUCACGACGAACGUUGUUAGGGUACGUCUAAAUUUCAUGGUCCAAAGUGUAACCUUAUUUCCGAGGAUUUCAAAAAUUGGAUUAAAAAAGUGCUGCAUAAUGGCACGUGGAGCAGGUUGUAUUUUAUUUUCAGGAAUUAUUUUUAUUUUGCCAAUCAAGAUUUUGCCAAUUUUCAUUAUGCCACUCUAGAUUUUGACAUUUUCAGUUUUGCCACUAUUAGUUUUUGACAAUUAUCACAAUUGCCAUUCCUGUAGCAAAAGCAAAAUUUUCUGAGUGGCAAUUGUGAUAAUUGGAAAUGACAACUGUGAUAAUUAUCAAAAGUUAUGAGUGGCAAAAAUAAAAUAAAUUAUUUUGCUUUUGCCACAUAAUGACAAUUGUGAUAAUUGUCAAAAAAUAAGAGUGAAAAAGUGAAAUGUCAAAAUCUAGACUGGCAGAAUUUUUUUUGGCAAAAUCUAGAGUGGAAAAAACAAAAUAAUUUCUUUUAUUUUUCACCCGGUGCAACGCACGGGCAUUUUUACUAGUUACUAUUACUAGUUACUAUUACUAGUUACGCGGGGUAUCUGCCCGUCCGUCGUGCCAAUUUGCAAAAAAGCCCCUGUUUUACAUGAAAUCAACCCGCAGUCCAGAUUUAAGUCACUCCGAACCGUUAUUUUACAGUUUUUCAAAAAACCCCUUGGCUUUUUAGGUAUUCUAUUCGCGGAUCAUAUUUAAUAAAACAAAUGCUUUUCUAAAUCAUCCAUAUCUUUUAAACCGUAACUCCGAUUUAAACAUGUUAUAUAUGAAUUUUGAUUAGAAAAAUAUGUAGAAUAUGAAUAUAAGAUUAUUUUAACCUGUUAAGUAUUUAUAAAUAUUAUUUUGAAAGAUAUUUAAUUCAAACAAAUGGUUUUCUAAAUUAUACGCAUCUUUUAAACCGUAUCCGACUUUUAAUAUGUUAUAUAUGAAAUUUGAUUAGAAAAAUGCGUGAAAUCUGUAUGUGAUGUUAAUUUUACCUAUUAAAUAUUUUUUAAAUAUUGUUUUGAAAGGAAACUUAUAAUUAUAGCGCACGAUCCAUUUUUCUUUGAUACAGACGGCGAUCCGGAUUGCAAAUAAACACCCACUAUAAUCAUAUAGGGAAAAGAAAACAUCGAGAACUACACAUGCAUACCUCUGAAUACGUCGCAGGGGAAAACAACAGAUAUUUUAUCGCGAGUGUGAGAGAAAGCGAGAGAGAGGGAGAGGGAGGACAGAAGGAGAAAGAGACGUCUUAGGAUUAACCACAUUCUAACACGUUUUGGUUUGUGUGAACACUAAGGCCAUCGUCGGCGAGGGUGGGAAGAAGGAUAAGCGGCAACACAAAUAUGAUGUGUCGUUAAAAUAAAGGAGAUGGACCUAUUGUGGUCUUGAGUGAUGGUUGUUCGGUUAAGAGUGUGUGUUGUGUUUUUUCUCCCGUUGCAACGCACGGGCUCUUUUGCUAGUAAUAAUAAUAAUAUUAUAAUAAUAAUAAUAAUAAUCUUUAUCUUUACCUUAUUAAUAAUAAAGCAAAUUGAGUUUCUGGUCAUCCGUCGGCAAUUUUGCAAAAAGGUCCCUAUGUUUAUGCGUAUUCAACCCGCGCUCCCCAUGAUAAGUCAACCGAAUCGGUAUGCAAUAGAGAAAGAAAGAAAAACACCACAGGACCGUGCUCCCAAUCUCACCGACUCACCGUGUGCCACCGGCCGCCGCGCGCCGCCACCUCCAACCCUCCUCCCAUCUUCAAUACUUAUCCUUUCAGUGUGGUCGCGGCCGACGACGCGCGCCUCCUCUGGGAAGAGGCCAUGGGGAAGCAGAGGCCGUAGAGGCAUGGCGACCUCACAUCCCACCACGACCUCCGGCGACACUCCUCCAAGAUCAUACCCAACCCCCUCGCCACCUGGGGCCCUCCCACAUGCCAUUGCAGAAUCCAUAUGUGGGGAGGAGGCAUCCCACAAAUAGAAGAACCCUCAGACUUGAGAUCCAGCAGAUCGACCACGACGCCCAUGGAGCGCGGGGG